GACGAACGCUGGCGGCGUGCUUAACACAUGCAAGUCGAGCGAGGCCCCUCCUUCGGGAGGGUGUCCUAGCGGCGAACGGGUGAGUAACACGUGGGCAACCUGCCCCCGGCUCUGGGAUAACUCCAAGAAAUUGGGGCUAAUACCGGAUAUGACCGCUGACCGCAUGGUCUGGUGGUGGAAAGAUUUAUCGGCUGGGGAUGGGCCCGCGGCCUAUCAGCUUGUUGGUGGGGUAGUGGCCUACCAAGGCGACGACGGGUAGCCGGCCCGGGAGGGUGACCGGCCACACGGAGACUGAGGCACGGCCCAGACUCCUACGGGAGGCAGCAGUGGGGAAUAUGGCGCAAUGGGCGGAAGCCUGACGCAGCGACGCCGCGUGGGGGAUGACGGCCUUCGGGUUGUAAACCUCUUUCAGCAGGGACGAAGCGAAAGUGACGGUACCUGCAGAAGAAGCACCGGCCAACUACGUGCCAGCCGCCGCCGUAA
rnacentral:rRNA from 1 species